AGAAAUCUCACAAGUACAAAUAUAAAUACUCCCAAAACCCGGUGUUACUGAGUACAUGAGCAUCUAUACAUUACAAGUCUAGAAAAUACGGUCUAUAAUAGUCUAAGACCAAAUACAGUAAACAAGGAGAUAAGGAAGGAAAGACAAGGUCUGCGAAACAUGGCAGCUACCUCUGAAUCUCCGAAAAAUCAACUGUGUGAAAGAAUCAACACCCACUAUGUCCGGGAUCACCUGGAUCUACACACGAAAUGCAGGGUGUAGUAUGAGUACAACCAACUCAGAAAGUAACAAUAACAAAUAAGGAACUGAAAGUAGUGAUGAGCUUCUCAGCUAGUCCAAAUACAGUACUUUCCAACAUAAAAGGGUAGGCAUGCUUUCAAGUUCAACAUUUAAGAUUUCACAGAAAUUUCAUAUCAAGUUUGACUGAAACAGAAAAUAAUAUUUUUUUUUCGAAAUUUCCAACAUAGUGAUAUAUGACAGCUGAAAUGCAGCAAAUAAUGAAAUCAAUGCAUCCACUCAGAGUAACAGUCACUCAGUCCUCCCAUUCACUCCAACCUCACAGUCACUCUUUCCUCACAGUCACUCAUUCCCCACAGUCACUCAUCACUUGGCACUUACACUCAGUAGGUACCUGCGCUCACUGGGGUGUGUACAGACUCCGGAGGGGCUCCUUCAGCCCAAGCGCUAUAACAAGCCAAUUAUGGCAUAUAAUAAUGAAACAUGUUGUGACGUGCAGCCAGAUCCCAUUUCUCUCCUCACAAUUAGGCCCUCGGCCUCACUCAGUCAUCAACCUCUCCAGUCUCUCGGGCUCAAGAUGUUAUGAAAAUCAGCCCAAAAUGAUAAUGUGAUGCAUCAAUAAAUAGCAACAGAGACUAAGAUAUGAUAUGAAAUGAAUGAACAUGACUGAGUGUGAAAUUUCAAUUUGAACAUACAAUUCAACUGCAGAAAUGACCCUAGUAGGUACCAAUAAUAACAGCAUAUGUCUAAGCAUGAUUUUUAAUACGAGUCUCAUCUCAAUUUUCUUUAACACAUAGAGAAUGUAGUGGUAUCAACAUAUUAUUCAGCUACACAAUUCCAUGGAAUUUUACAAAGUCAUAAUUCCUACGGUGCACGCCCACACGCCCGUCAUCUAGCAUGUGUGUCAGCUCAAAACCAAUCAAGUAACACAUAAUCCGGGUUUCAUACCCUUAGGACCAAAUUUAGAAUUGUUACUUACCUCAAAUCAUGAAAUUCUAUAUUCUGGUAGGUCUUUGCCUCGUGAAUUGGCCUCCAAACGCCUCGAAUCU
rnacentral:lncRNA from 1 species